GGGAGGGGGAGAUGGAAUUAGUGGUGUAGGGGUAAAAUCCGUAGAUAUCACUAGGAAUACCGAAAGCGAAGGCGAUCUCCUGGAACAUUACUGACGCCAAGGCGUGAAAGCGUGGGGAGCAAACAGGAUUAGAUACCGUGGUAGUCCACGCCCUAAACGAUGUUCACUAGUCGUCGGGAUGCUAGUCAUCCCGGUGAUGCACUUAACAGAUUAAGUGAACCGCCUGGGGAGUACGGUCGCAAGAUUAAAACUCAAAGGAAUAGACGGGGACCCGCACAAGUGGUGGAGCAUGUGGUUUAAUUCGAAGAUACGCGAAGAACCUUACCUAGCCUUGACAUUGAUAGAACGGACCAGAGAUGGACCGGUGCCCUUCGGGGAGCUUGAAAACAGGUGCUGCACGGCUGUCGUCAGCUCGUGUCGUGAGAUGUUGGGUUAAGUCCCGCAACGAGCGCAACCCUCGUCUUUAGUUGCCAGCAGGUUAAGCUGGGCACUCUAAAGAGACUGCCUUCGUAAGGAGGAGGAAGGUGAGGACGACGUCAAGUCAUCAUGGCCCUUAUGGCUAGGGCUACACACGUGCUACAAUGGGGCGUACAGAGAGUUGCGAUACCGCGAGGUGGAGCCAAUCUCACAAAGCGUCUCUCAGUUCGGAUUGUAGUCUGCAACUCGACUACAUGAAGCUGGAAUCACUAGUAAUCGUAGAUCAGCAAUGAUACGGUGAAUACGUUCCCGGGUC
rnacentral:rRNA from 1 species